rnacentral:rRNA from 1 species
GGGAGGUAGUGACAUUAAAUAACAAUGCAGGGUUCUUUGAAUCUUGUAAUUGGAAUGAGUACAAUUUAAAUCUCUUAACGAGGAACAAUUGGAGGGCAAGUCUGGUGCCAGCAGCCGCGGUAAUUCCAGCUCCAAUAGCGUAUAUUAAAGUUGUUGCAGUUAAAAAGCUCGUAGUUGAAUUUCGGGAUCAAUACGUCGGUCGUGCUUUCGGGUACGUACUGGCGUCAUUGGUUUCUCCUUUCUGACGAACCAUGAUGUCAUUAAUUUGGUGUUAUGGGGAGUUAGGACUGUUACUUUGAAAAAAUUAGAGUGUUUAAAGUAGGAAUUAGCUUGAAUACAUUAGCAUGGAACAAUGAAAUAGGACGUUCGAUCCUAUUUUGUUGGUUUCUAGGAUCAACGUAAUGAUUAAUAGGGAUAGUUGGG